AUUGAACGCUGGCGGCAUGCCUUACACAUGCAAGUCGAACGGUAACAGGUCUUCGGAUGCUGACGAGUGGCGAACGGGUGAGUAAUACAUCGGAACGUGCCUAGUAGUGGGGGAUAACUACUCGAAAGAGUGGCUAAUACCGCAUGAGAUCUACGGAUGAAAGCAGGGGAUCGCAAGACCUUGUGCUACUAGAGCGGCCGAUGGCAGAUUAGGUAGUUGGUGGGAUAAAAGCUUACCAAGCCGACGAUCUGUAGCUGGUCUGAAAGGACGAUCAGCCACACUGGGACUGAGAAACGGCCCAGACUCCUGCGGGAGGCAGCAGUGGGGAAUGUUGGACAAUGGGCGCAAGCCUGAUCCAGCGAUGCCGCGUGCAGGAUGAAGGCCUUCGGGUUGUAAACUGCUUUUGUACGGAACGAAAAGCCCCGGGUUAAUACCCUGGGGUCAUGACGGUACCGUAAGAAUAAGCACCGGCUAACUACGUGCCAGCCGCCGCCGUAA
rnacentral:rRNA from 1 species